rnacentral:misc_RNA from 1 species
UGUAAAUAUAUGCACGUGUUUAGUGACCGAACACGAUCAUGGUAGGACACUUGAGGUCAGGGGAUUUUUCUGAUGAAAUGCAGGUUCUGACUGAUAGAUUUCAGCUAGUGGUCGUUUGUACCUAGCAUUCAAAUACAAUGUUGUCGAAACUGAGCGUAUUUGCGAAGAGAUCGUUCAGCAAGCACCUGUUGUUGACAAAUAUAGCCACUUACAGUUCCUUACUGGCUCUCGGAGACUGUUUUGUGCAAACCAUCGAACGUCAUGCCACCGAUGGCGAGAAGCAACCUUAUAACUAUCACAGAACGGGUCGUGUGUUCAUCCUUGGGGUGGCUCUGGCACCUCUGAACCAUGUGUGGUACAAGCUGUUGGACAAGGUGAUCAAGGGGACAGGCGGGAAGGUGGCUGCCAAGAAGAUACUCACUGAACAGUUCUCAGCUGCCCCAUUCUUCUGUUCAGCUUAUAUUACAGGUAUUGGUGCCCUAGAGAGAAAAAGUGGACGUGAAAUUUAUCAAGAAUUGAGCGAGAAGUUUCUUUUUAUCUACCUCGUUGACUGGUUUGUGUGGCCGCCAGCACAGUUCAUCAACUUCUACUUUCUGCCAACACAAUACCGUGUUGCAUAUGUUUCUGUACUGACGCUAUGCUGGAACUGUUUUCUGUCCUAUAUUAAACACAAGAACCCAGAACCAGUUCCUCAUCUCACAGAGAAAUCCGAGAAAUGUGACUGAUGACUAAAACAGACAUGGCUUCAUUCCAUCUCAGGAAUACCGUAUUUCAUCUAAGAUCUAUUUGCUCAAUCAGAAUUUGCUGAGUGGAUUAAAAUGUGGUAAAAUUAAUAUCUGGCUUCAAUUUGUCCAUUCCCAUUACAAAUCAAGCCAGUUAGUUAACUACUGGCUUCCCUUGUUGUUAUCCUAUCACUGUUGUUGUUUCACAUAGAUUUAUAUAGCUAUAUGUGUCCUAGUUUUUUCUCUCAUCUGAUAAAGGCGUAAGAAUAUACUCUGAAAGGUAUAUUCUGAAACCUGUUCCUCAAGGGGCGGUGGGGUAGCCAUGUGGUGAAAGCAUCACUCGUAAGACCCGGGUUUGAUUCCCCACAUGGGUACAAUGUGUGAAGCCCAUUUCUGGUGUCGACAGCCAUGAUAUUGCUGGAAUAUUGCUGAAAGCAAUGUAAAACAGCUAAAUUAACUCACUGUGUUCCCCAAAUAAAAUUCUCGCCUCUAUUUUCUAUUUACUGAAGUAAACAUUAUGACGAUUAAAGUCAACAUGGCCAGUGGAUACUUCCGUAUAGGAAAUAUCCAUUUCCUUGGUCUUUGUCAAUCAAAAGAAACAUUACAUGAGACUGCCCAUUUAAAUGUAUGUGAUAUUCUCGUAUAUUGUUAUUUGCAGUGCGUGUGUGAAUAUUUUAUGUAUGUGUACCGCUGCCAGUAUUUUAUAUCUGCUGAAGGUGUAAAUGCUCUCAAUGUAUUUUAAAUGUUCUUUGAAUGUGUGGAAUGAUAUCCCAGUGAAAGAUCUUCUUUACACUAUCCCUGCCUGUUGAAAUGUGUCAAAAGAAAAUGGUUGUGUUUUGCAAAUAACAUUGUUAUACCUGCUGGUUAAAAGCAAUAAACAGAUUAAUGAAA